UGGGGAAUAUUGGACAAUGGGGGCAACCCUGAUCCAGCGACGCCGCGUGUGUGAAGAAGGCCUGCGGGUUGUAAAGCACUUUUAGUGGGGAUGAAAAGUGCAGAGAUAACACCUCUGCAUCUUGACCUAACCUACAGAAAAAGCACCGGCUAACUCUGUGCCAGCAGCCGCGGUAAUACAGAGGGUGCAAGCGUUAAUCGGAAUUACUGGGCGUAAAGCGUGCGUAGACGGUAGCGUAAGUCGGGUGUGAAAGCCCCGGGCUCAACCUGGGAAUUGCAUUCGAGACUGCUCUGCUAGGGUGCGGAAGAGGGAAGCGGAAUUUCCGGUGUAGCGGUGAAAUGCGUAGAUAUCGGAAGGAACACCAGUGGCGAAAGCGGCUUCCUGGUCCAGCACCGACGUUCAGGCACGAAAGCGUGGGGAGCAAACA
rnacentral:rRNA from 1 species